rnacentral:rRNA from 1 species
AGUGAACGCUGGCGGCGUGCCUAAUACAUGCAAGUCGAACGGAGUGGGGCACGGGCGGGUAAUGUAUAGCUAAUCUGCCCUACACUAGAGGACAACAGCUGGUAACGACUGCUAAUACUCUCUAGUGUCGGAUGAGGCUAUAUUGUAUCAGCUAGUUGGUGAGGUAAUGGCUCACCAAGGCUAUGACGCAUAACUGGUCUGAGAGGAUGAUCAGUAACACUGGAACUGAGACACGGUCCAGACUCCUACGGGAGGCAGCAGUAGGGAAUAGUGCUCAAUGGGGGAAACCCUGAAGCAGCAACGCGGCGUGGAGGAUGACACUUUUCGGAGCGUAAACUCCUGUUGUUAGGGAAGCGGUACCUAACGAAUAAGCACCGGCUAACUCCGUGCCAGCAGCCGCGGUAAUAC